AUAUUUGAGAGUUUGAUCCUGGCUCAGGAUGAACGCUGGCGGCGUGCCUAACACAUGCAAGUCGAGCGAUCUCUUCGGAGAGAGCGGCGGACGGGUGAGUAACGCGUGGGUAACCUGCCCUGUACACACGGAUAACAUACCGAAAGGUAUACUAAUACGGGAUAACAUAUAAAAGUCGCAUGGCUUUUGUAUCAAAGCUCCGGCGGUACAGGAUGGACCCGCGUCUGAUUAGCUAGUUGGUAAGGUAAUGGCUUACCAAGGCAACGAUCAGUAGC
rnacentral:ncRNA from 1 species